rnacentral:rRNA from 1 species
GAUGACGGCCUUCGGGUUGUAAACCUCUUUCAGUAGGGAAGAAGCGAAAGUGACGGUACCUGCAGAAGAAGCACCGGCUAACUACGUGCCAGCAGCCGCGGUAAUACGUAGGGUGCGAGCGUUAUCCGGAAUUAUUGGGCGUAAAGAGCUCGUAGGCGGUUUGUCGCGUCUGUCGUGAAAGUCCGGGGCUUAACCCCGGAUCUGCGGUGGGUACGGGCAGACUAGAGUGCAGUAGGGGAGACUGGAAUUCCUGGUGUAGCGGUGGAAUGCGCAGAUAUCAGGAGGAACACCGAUGGCGAAGGCAGGUCUCUGGGCUGUAACUGACGCUGAGGAGCGAAAGCA